UAAGGCCAAACGGAAAUGCCUCUGUUGUAAAAGUGGGCGGAGCUGAAUAAGGUGAAUAUUACUCCACAAACAAUCCAAUUGUGGUACACAGACCAUCAAAUGGUUUAAAAAUGCUCAGAUUUGUCAUUUUUUGGACCGACCGACGCCCGCUUGGUCACUCUGCUCCCUUGCCAUAGCAAUCACCCUCAUACUACAUUCGUAUAGAAAAACAUCUGCUAAUAAUUAAAGUGCUGGUGGAAUACAAAAUUUAGAGAUCAGGUGUAUGCAUUUGUGUUUUAUUUCCUCAAAAGUUUACAAUAUUUACAAUAUAAUAAUACUUGCUUUAAAUACACACAAUCAAGGAGAGAGCGCUCUCAGAAUCCUGAUAACUUCCUUUUACAAUCUACAACAUCAUUCUGUUUGCAU